rnacentral:rRNA from 1 species
AGAGUUUGAUCCUGGCUCAGGACGAACGCUGGCGGUGUGCUUCACACAUGCAAGUCGAGCGAAUGAAGAAGGUAGCUUGCUACUUUUGGAUUUAGCGGCGGACGGGUGAGUAAUAUAUAGGAAUCUGCCCUAGAGCGGGGAACAACAGACCGAAAGGUUUGCUAAUGCCCCAUAGGUACGCAGUCUUCGGAUUGUUUAUUAAAGGAGUAAUCCACUCUAGGAUGAGCCUGUAUCCGAUUAGCUAGUUGGCGGGGUAAAGGCCCACCAAGGCUACGAUCGGUAGUUGGUCUGAGAGGAUGAUCAGCCACAAUGGGACUGAGACACGGCCCAUACUCCUACGGGAGGCAGCAGUGGGGAAUUUUACACAAUGGGGGAAACCCUGAUGUAGCGACACCGCGUGAACGAAGAAGCCUUUUGGGGUGUAAAGUUCUGUCGGCUGGAACGAAAAAAAUGACGGUACCAGCAAAGGAAGCAUCGGCUAACUACGUGCCAGCAGCCGCGGUAAGACGUAGGAUGCAAGCGUUGUCCGGAUUUAUUGGGCGUAAAGAGUUCGUAGGCGGUUAUUUAAGUCUGGUGUUAAAUACUGUGGCCCAACCACAGAACUGCAUUGGAUACUGGAUGACUUGAGUGCGGUAGAGGCGAGUGGAAUUCCCAGUGUAGCGGUGAAAUGCGUAGA